rnacentral:rRNA from 1 species
CCUACGGGAGGCAGCAGUGAGGGAUAUUGCUCAAUGGGGGAAACCCUGAACCAGCAACGCCGCGUGAGUGAAGACGGUUUUCGGAUUGUAAACCUCUGUCCUCUGGGAAGAUAAUGACGGUAGCAGAGUAUGAAGCUCCGGCUAACUACGUGCCAGCAGCCGCGGUAAUACGUAGGGAGCGAGCGUUGUCCGGAUUUACUGGGUGUAAAGGGUGCGUAGGCGGCCCUGCAAGUAAGAAGUGAAAUCCAUGGGCUUAACCCGUGAACUGCUUUUGAAACUGUAGGACUUGAGUGGAGUAGAGGUAGGCGGAAUUCCUGGUGUAGCGGUGAAAUGCGUAGAGAUCGGGAGGAAAACCAGUGGCGAAGGCGGCCUACUGGGCUGAAACUGACGCUGAGGUACGAAAGCGUGGGUAGCAAACAGGAUUAGAUACCCUAGUAGUC